GAGAAAAGUGUGGGAAAUUCAAGGAAACAAGUGACAAAAGGUGGUGAGUCCUCCGUAAAGGCAAGGAAAUUGCACCCGAGGACUAGUAAUCUGAGUACUUCGAAAGUCCCCAUUUUAGACAUUGUUUAGCUUGCUGCAGUAGGUGGAUUCUGUGGAUCAGCCUAU